rnacentral:lncRNA from 13 species
UUUUGAACAUACUGUACAAGUAUUCUCUCUACAUGACUCUACAAAACAUCUCCAUUUCAUUUAGCACUAGAUCUGUAGUGGCUUUAGAAUGGAAGCACAUGUUAUGUUUUACAUAAUUCUAUGUUGAGGAGGAAUAUCGAAUUACCAAAGGUUAUUGUCAAGUAUUUCCUGGAAUAUGCUGUGUUUAUGAACUGUGGUCUGCGUUGAACCUGAGGGACACAAACCAUGUUCCAUCUGACCAAUUCUCACAGUGGCAUCAUAAGGAUUUGAACAGGAACUGUAUUUAACCAAUAGAACAGGAAUUGUGGAUGUUUGGGAAGAGAUCCACAAGGGUCGAAAUUCCGUUUUGAGACCAUUGCUUGAAUGCGGAAUCAGUUAAUGGUUGGAAAUAGAAGUUGGCACAUAACAGCAUAGGAGUGAUCAUCUCUUUCAGACCAAAAGUGACACUGACUCCAAAUGGCAGCCCCCACGGCCAAGGUGUCCAUCCCCCACUGAAGCUAGUUCAUCCAGCUCCUGCCACAAGUGGUGUUCAUCUGCCCAAAUGUAUUUCUGCAGGCAUGGAUGUGCCUCAGGGCCAAAAGGGCACAGCAUGGAGGCGUUGCUGUGUUCUUUGUAAAAUGAAGUCCCCCAUCACCUGCGCCACAUGCUUGGUGACCCUCUGCUU